rnacentral:rRNA from 1 species
CUCAGUUCGGAUCGGAGUCUGCAACCCGACUCCGUGAAGCUGGAUUCGCUAGUAAUCGCGCAUCAGCCAUGGCGCGGUGAAUACGUCCCCGGGCCUUGUACACACCGCCCGUCAAGCCAUGGGAGCCGGGGGUGCUUGAAGUGCGUCGCCGCAAGGCGCGCCCUAGAGCAAAACCGGUGACUGGGGCUAAGUCGUAACAAGGUACC